rnacentral:rRNA from 1 species
UACGAAGGGUGCAAGCGUUACUCGGAAUUACUGGGCGUAAAGCGUGCGUAGGUGGUUCGUUAAGUCUGAUGUGAAAGCCCUGGGCUCAACCUGGGAAUGGCAUUGGAAACUGGCGACCUAGAGUGCGGUAGAGGGCAGUGGAAUUCCCGGUGUAGCAGUGAAAUGCGUAGAGAUCGGGAGGAACAUCUGUGGCGAAGGCGACUGCCUGGACCAGUACUGACACUGAGGCACGAAAGCGUGGGGAGCAAACAGG